AGGGCCCUAUGUUUGCUCGGUGGUUGCUCGCCUGUCGCGCUUUUAAUCCGUAGGUUCUGGGUUCGAGUCCCAGGCGCCCUACCA
rnacentral:tRNA from 1 species